CUGACCGAGUGUGGAGUCACAGUGCCUCACCCAGCUUCCCUCGCUCCCCGCAAACUUCAGAUUCAACCUGAAAAGGGCAAGCUGCUGCAUCGCCCAUCCUUCACCUCCAGCGCAGUGACCCCACACGGGCAGGGCGGUCUGCAUGCCGUGUGUGGGCCACGGAGCCAUGCCCUCUCUCCUUCUGGCCCUUGAGAUUGGUCUGCUGACCAUUCUGGACUCCUGGGAUGCGAACACAAAGCCAUUUCAGUCUCUCGGGAGGCGAUCACUGCAGCCCUGCAAGCAGGAAGACAGUUCGUAUCAGCUUUUGAUGUGGGAAACAGGAUUCUCAAGUCUGCAGUGAGACACAGAUCAGGUUGCGAGAGCAACAGGCGGGCCUGGGAGGAAGUUCAGAUGAGUUUAUAGACAAUAUUUAUAGAGGAACACAGAGGUUACACUUGGUACAUCUGUAUAGAGUGGGAAUCUGUGUGAUCUGGCAACAAGUGAUGGAUCUCUGUUUUUCAUCCAGUUGGCAAGAUCAAGGAAAAAGCUACGACAACCUGAUCUUAGAGGAAUAAAAGUGGUGGUCAUUUAGGUAGGUAUGCAAAAGUGUCCUGAUGUCCACCAAAAGACAUGCAUUUUAGUGUUCCCAGCAGCGCUGUUCAUAAACGCCUCAAGCUGGAAACUACCCACUUGGCCAGCAGCAGCAGAAUGGAAAACUGUGGUACAUUCACACAAGGAAAUCCUGUAUGGCAAUGUGAGGAAUCUACGAGCACACGAGGAACACGGGAAAAGUUAUGGGUGCCAAGGGGCCGCUGCCCUUGCCUCUGGACAGAGCCACGUCCUAGUGAUCCCAGACCUGCUUUGGAGAUUCUUCGGAGAUGGCGCUUCUGCAGUCUGUCUUGGAGCCCAUUCUAGUGCUCGGGAAAGCAGCCUUCAUGUCUAACCUAAAUCCCUUCCGAGGCAACAUCUCCUCUUGUUCGAGGCUCAGAUGAGAAAGCAUGAGGCAGGACCUCCAGCUGAGGCUGACUGUGCUGUCCUGGGGGAGGGGGUGUCCGGCUUCAGUUACCCAGAGGGAGGGCAGGCAGCAGUGAUCCUAACCACCCCGAGGUGUGGAGGACGGACACUGGACAGCCCGGCGACACCUUCCUCAGGAGACGCAGCAAGACGGGAUGGCCCGGGAGCCCAGCCUAUCACACAGGCCCCGUGCGGUGGGGAAAGCCUGCCCGUGGCCCCCGAGACUCUCUCCUGGACUGCCAGCCUCCGAAUCCCUUCUUAGCCACUCGAUUUACCUUCCCUGGGCUUCAGUCUUAGAGUCUGUAAAAUGGGAUGGACAUUGAUGGUCCUUACCUCACCUGACUGUCAUGACACUGAAGUGAGACAGCACGUAGAACAUGCCCAGCACAACACGCACACGUGGCAGGAACUUGG